rnacentral:rRNA from 1 species
GACGAACGCUGGCGGCGUGCUUAACACAUGCAAGUCGAACGGUGAAGCGCCUUCCUUUUUGGUGGGUGUGGAUGAGUGGCGAACGGGUGAGUAACACGUGAGUAACCUGCCCCCUUCUUCUGGAUAACCGCAUGAAAGUGUGGCUAAUACGGGAUAUUCUGGGUCUGUCGCAUGAUGGGUCUGGGAAAGAUAUUGUUUCGGUGGGGGAUGGGCUCGCGGCCUAUCAGCUUGUUGGUGGGGUGAUGGCCUACCAAGGCGGUGACGGGUAGCCGGCCUGAGAGGGUGGACGGUCACACUAGGGCUGAGACACGGCCCAGACUCCUACGGGAGGCAGCAGUGGGGAAUAUUGCACAAUGGGCGGAAGCCUGAUGCAGCGACGCCGCGUGAGGGAUGGAGGCCUUCGGGUUGUGAUCCUCUUUCGCCAGUGAAGCAGGCCUGCCUCGUUUGUGGGUGGGUUGACGGUAGCUGGAUAAGAAGCGCCGGCUAACUACGUG